GAGGGUUCCGAGUGGCCUCGGGGUGGGCUGUGCCGGAGUCUCCUCCCUUUGGCCGGCCGCAGGUUGGUGGCGGGAGCGGGGGACAGCUGAGAGCGCGGGGAGGGGGCCCUCUGCGCUGGGCCAUGGCCGAACCCGGAAGCCGGGAGCCCGAGACUGGGACCUGCAGCCCCGGUGUCGCCGCCGCCAUGGCCUCGCAGCAGCUCUUCCGCGCGCUCGUGUCGGCGCAGUGGGUGGCCGAAGCGCUCCGGGCCCCGCGGGCCGGGCAGCCCCUGCAGCUGCUCGACGCCUCCUGGUACCUGCCCAAGCUGGGCCGCGACGCGCACCGCGAGUUCGAGGAGCGACACAUCCCGGGCUCCGCCUUCUUUGACAUCGACCAGUGCAGCGACCGCACGUCGCCCUACGACCACAUGCUGCCCAGGGCUGCGCACUUUGCCGAGUACGCGGGCCGCCUGGGCGUGAGCGCCUCUACCCACGUCGUGGUCUACGACGCCAGCGAUCAGGGCCUCUACUCGGCGCCGCGUGUCUGGUGGAUGUUCCGCGCCUUCGGCCACCGCACCGUGUCGCUUCUCGACGGCGGCCUCCGCAACUGGUUGCGCCAGGGCCUCCCGCUGAGUGCAGGCAAGAGCCGCCCAGAGCCCUCAGAGUUCCACGCGGUGCUGGACCCCGCCUACGUCAAGACGUACGAGGACAUCAAGGAGAACCUCGAAUCCCGGCGCUUCCAGGUGGUGGACGCCCGCGCCGCUGGCCGCUUCCAGGGCACCGAGCCCGAGCCCCGAGAAGGCAUCGAACCCGGCCACAUCCCUGGCACUAUCAACAUCCCCUUCACGGAAUUCAUGACCAAGGAGGGCUUGGAGAAGAGCCCCGAGGAGAUCCGCCGCCUCUUCCAGGACAAGAAGGUGGACCUGUCCCAGCCCCUCGUGGCCACGUGCGGCUCCGGCGUCACAGCCUGUCAUGUGGCACUGGGGGCCUACCUCUGCGGCAAGCCCGAUGUGCCCCUCUAUGACGGCUCCUGGGUGGAGUGGUACAUGCGCGCCCAGCCCGAGGAUGUCAUCUCCGAGGGCCGGGGGAAGACCCACUGAGGCUUGGCGGGACACAGGAAGCUCGGGUGACACCCAGCCACCAGCAGUGCCCAGCCUGGUGGUUCUGACUCUGCUUUGACCAGUAUAGGGUUUCUUCCUCCAACCCAGCUGGUGCAUAGGGUGACAUCCCAGAGGCCAGCAAUUCCGCUGCCUCGUGGGCUCUCAGUGGAGGCAGCAGAGAAGGUGGUGGCGGGAACAGGGGGAGGGGAGCUGCCCACGUGAUGCUGAGCUGGAGCCCCACCUCCCCUCUAUUGAGGAAAUAAAACAGUCAAGUUCUAAAUCCUUCUAACUGAGGCUGCCUCAGCUUUCCUCGGCUCUUUGGCCAGUGGUUCCAACAUGCCCAGCAAGGGAGCUUCGUGGAGCCGGAGGGUCUUGAGGACGCUGUCCCUGCCUUCUGAGCGGUGCUGGGGUCCCAGAGCCCUUCCAGUCCUGUGACUGAAUGUCUCCCAGCGAACUGUCUUCUAUUUCUACUUCUAUGGCUGGGGUCUCCCUUCUGGCUUCUGGGCGAUUUAAGGUGCAUCUGCUGUGCUCUGUCUGGAAUCACACCCAAACACCCCCUGCAGGCAGGAACUUGCAACAUCGGACAACGGGGAUGAUGAAAUUUUUGUCUACUUGGCAAAUAUUUGCUGAGCACCCCCUCGGUGUCAGGAACAGAAGAUUGCCGGCCUUGUCUCACCAGCUGCACUGGAUUGUGUCCACUCCCUGGCUCGCUGCCUCCAGGGAUCACGGCCCGAAGAAGCCCCCACCCCACAUAGUGGGCUGAACAACAGAGCAAUGCACUUAUUUGGUCCUGGCACUGCUCAAGGCCUCCUUCCAGUCGGGGCCUCAGUCAUCUCAUCUGGAAAAUGGGAGCAAACUGCCCUGUCACACCCAGGGUGGGUGUGAUGUCAGAUAAGGGAAAGCUCUAAGGCGUUUUCUAUUGUAGGUCAUUCCUACUGGAAAUAACCCCAGCUAGUCAUUAUAUAAGCAGCACGGAGCUUAUUAUCCUUAACACAUGGAGAAUGAGUCAUUCAGGAGAAGAUGAAAUUUUCAGGUUAACUGAAGCUUUAUAAUUUUAAGCACCCCCAAAUUUAACAGAGGGUGGGACACAGUGUACUGAGGUUACCCGAACUCUCUGUAGCUCUGUUUCAUCACUUUAUUGUGGCCGCAGUUUGCCCCUAAGCUAAAUGGCCCCCAUUGCUGUGACUUUCCAGUCCUCGAAUCCUUGCAACUCCACAUCAUCCUUGCCAACUGUCCUUCCCAGUUACUAUCUGUGUUCUGCAGAGUCUCCACCUGCUUCUAGGUGGGCCCACUCCCCUGGUAUAAUGCCCCCUAUUCUAGGCCUUAAACCGCUGUGUUGAACCAGGGCUUCCAGCAGCCUGCUGGGCCCCUCACCCUGGUCCUCUAUCCAUGUCCCCUGUCUCAGUGUGCAUGGCCACCACACAGGGGUCACCUGUGCCCAGACCCGGCAGCCAGUUCUCCAGAUUUGGUCUCCCUUCCCCACAGCCAGUCAACACCCAGGCCCGUGAUUUCCACCUCUAUUCCCACUGCCUUGAUCCGAGUCACCGCCACCCCGCCCCCCGGCCCCGUGCCCAAGACACAUAGAUGCAACCUGUCCAAUUGUUAAUUCCAGCACACACCCACAGGGACAGGCCCUGUACCAGGAUCUGGGGCAUGGAGGAUAAGGACAGACUCUGAGGGGGGAAUUGUCCUAGUGGAGGGGAGCGGACAGACAGACCAUGGCAGGUGUGGCGAGGGGUAUCAGAGAUGAAAUGGAACAGGAGAGGGUGGAGCCGGUUGUUCUGGGUCUGAGAAGCAGCUCUGCACAGGCCAGUAGCCCCUUUCUGAAUCCCCUGGACCAUUCCGCCUCACUCCAUGCAGAGAAGCAGCAGGGGAUAGGGUUCAAAGCACAGCCUCUGGAGGGAUCUGGACCUCCAGCUCCCUGGCUGUGAGUGUGCUUUGAUUUCCUCAUCUGUAAUGGAAUAAUCCAGUACCCACCUUACAGGAUCAGAUUCAUACAAGCACUGAGAACAGAGCCUGAACAGUAAGCCCUACAUACAUGCAUUAUUCAUUGCUAAGAUUCUGUCCUCAGGUCGCUCCUGCCUCCCUGUGCUGGCCUAGACGCCUUGAGAGUAACAUAUUUUAUUCAUGGUUCUCUUCCUGGCCCAGCACAGUGACAGGUCAGGGCUUCACAGAUGUUUGACGUAUACAUAUUCAUUUAUUUAUAUUUUGACCUCGCUGCAUGGCAUGUGGGAUCUUAGUUCCCUGUGCCCCCUGCAGUGGAAGCACAGAUUCUUAACCACUGGACCUCCAGGGAAGUCCCUGUUUGACAUAUACAUAAAUAUCCCGGCCAGGCUAAGAAAGACCCUAAUAAUCCCUCUUUACCUAGCACUUUCCACGUCCAGGGAGGAUGCUAAGUGUUCUGUACCCACUUAAUCCAACAACCCUGAGAAAUGGGUGUUAUUAUAUCCCCUAUUUUACAGGUAAGGAAGAUGGUGGCUUAGAGAGGUCAGGUGACUUGAGGUCCCAGGAAGGGUAGGGCUGGGAUUGGAAUUCUGGAUGGAAUGAUUUCAUCAUUGUGAGACAGAACUGGGGAGGGG